rnacentral:rRNA from 1 species
UACGUAGGGUGCAAGCGUUAAUCGGAAUUACUGGGCGUAAAGCGUGCGCAGGCGGUUGUGCAAGACAGAUGUGAAAUCCCCGGGCUCAACCUGGGAACUGCAUUUGUGACUGCACGGCUAGAGUGUGUCAGGGGGGGGUAGAAUUCCACGUGUAGCAGUGAAAUGCGUAGAUAUGUGGAGGAAUACCGAUGGCGAAGGCAGCCCCCUGGGAUAACACUGACGCUCAUGCACGAAAGCGUGGGGAGCAAACAGG